AAACCAGAAUCCUACUUACCAUGAUCAUGAAGGUGGUGUCCCCAGGGCCAGUUUACCCAUUGCACAUCACAUGUGCUGACCCCUGCGAUUUCCCCAAAUGUGGGAAACUCAGCUGCGUAAUCUGUGGUAAUGGGGGACUGCAUUCACACUCUCCCUUA